GACGAACGCUGGCGGCGUGCUUAACACAUGCAAGUCGAACGCUGAAGCCCUUUAGGGGGUGGAUGAGUGGCGAACGGGUGAGUAACACGUGGGUAAUCUGCCCUGCACUCUGGGAUAAGCCUUGGAAACGGGGUCUAAUACCGGAUAGGACACAUCGCCGCAUGGUGUGUGGGUGGAAAGUUCCGGCGGUGCAGGUUGAGCCCGCGGCCUAUCAGCUUGUUGGUGGGGUGAUGGCCUACCAAGGCGACGACGGGUAGCCGGCCUGAGAGGGUGACCGGCCACACUGGGACUGAGACACGGCCCAGACUCCUACGGGAGGCAGCAGUGGGGAAUCUUGCGCAAUGGGCGAAAGCCUGACGCAGCAACGCCGCGUGGGGGAUGACGGCCUUCGGGUUGUAAACCUCUUUCGACCGGGACGAAGGGUGACUGACGGUACCGGUAGAAGAAGCACCGGCUAACUACGUGCCAGCAGCCGCCGCCG
rnacentral:rRNA from 1 species